UGAGGAAUAUUGGACAAUGGGCGCAAGCCUGAUCCAGCCAUGCCGCGUGCAGGAUGACGGUCCUAUGGAUUGUAAACUGCUUUUGUACAGGAAGAAACAGUUCUACGUGUAGAACCUUGACGGUACUGUAAGAAUAAGGAUCGGCUAACUCCGUGCCAGCAGCCGCGGUAAUACGGAGGAUCCAAGCGUUAUCCGGAAUCAUUGGGUUUAAAGGGUCCGUAGGCGGUUAGAUAAGUCAGUGGUGAAAGCCCAUCGCUCAACGGUGGAACGGCCAUUGAUACUGUCUGACUUGAAUUAUUAGGAAGUAACUAGAAUAUGUAGUGUAGCGGUGAAAUGCUUAGAGAUUACAUGGAAUACCAAUUGCGAAGGCAGGUUACUACUAAUGGAUUGACGCUGAUGGACGAAAGCGUGGGGAGCAAACAGGAUUAGAUACCCCCGUAGUCCCUGAGCGGGCUGGCAAGGCGCAU
rnacentral:rRNA from 1 species